UACAGAGGUCCCAAGCGUUGUUCGAUUCAUUGGGCGUAAAGGGUGCGUAGGCGGCGCGGUAAGUCGGGUGUGAAAUCUCGGGGCUUAACUCCGAAACUGCAUUCGAUACUGCCGUGCUUGAGGACUGGAGAGGAGACUGGAAUUUACGGUGUAGCGGUGAAAUGCGUAGAUAUCGUAAGGAAGACCAGUGGCGAAGGCGGGUCUCUGGACAGUUCCUGACGCUGAGGCACGAAGGCCAGGGGAGCAAACGGG
rnacentral:rRNA from 1 species